rnacentral:lncRNA from 1 species
UAGUCAAAUCGAAGAUAUCGAAGAGUAGAACCCAAAUCAAUCAUCAAAAACAACAUGAGAUUCACAGGUAGGGAGUAAUUGAAGUUUUAAAAUUCGAAUUAUUAUGAUUUAAAUAGUGAAUUCUUGCAAACGUGAUUGUUUGAUUGUUUGGAUGAUUCCAUGUUGUAGAACGUGUUUUUCUCGUCGUUUUGGUAUAUUAUAUGUUGAAUUUCGAGUUCGGAAACAUCUAGAAAAGUGGGUUUGAUUAUUUGGUUGUGUUCUUGGUGUUCUUGAACAAAGUCACCGGAAAAUUCUUAUUUUUGGUCGGGAUUUUGACUCGUUUAACCUGAGUAGAAACCAAGCGCACCAUUGGAUAGAUAAUAGCUCGUAUAAUCGUUUUGUGGUGUCAAACUGGGCAAAGGGGCAGUAGAAAGCUCGCCGGAGUCUGGAAAUCAACGGCGGCGGCGCGACUUCAGUCGCGUUUUCCGGCUAAUUUAGGUGUUGUUUGUAAGAAAUAAGGAUACAGGCGUGUUGCUGGUAAUGUGUAGAACAAAUCUGGAGUUUUUGAGCAAGUUCUGGGCAGAAGUGACGCCUCCGGCAGCUUGCCGGCGUCGUUCCGGCGGCUGGGGGCGGUGGCAGUGGAAAACUGCCAAUUAACCCCCAAAGUUUUGAAGAAGAAACAAUAUUUCCCCUAAAGUUUUCAUUUCUGGCAAAUUGACCCCUGAUAUUUUUAUAAGUUACACUUUACACCCUUGCCAUAAAGUUUUAAAAACUUACAAAAUAAACCUUUUGAGUUAAUUUUCUAAAAUUGUUUUAUUUAAUUAUUUUAAAUUCCAAAAAUAGUUUUUAAUUAUUUCUUUAUUCAAAAAUAAAUCUAAAUUAGUUUGUUAAUUAAUUUUAAUUAGUAAUUAAUUAUUUUAAUUAGUCAAUUAAUUUAAAUAUUAAUUGAUUAAUUAUUUUAAUUAAUUAUUAAUUGAUUUUAAUUGAUUAAUUAAUUGGAUUUAAUUAAUCCUUUUUGAUUUAAAAAUUCCGAAAAAUAGUUUCGAGCUUUAAAAUAUUUUUCCAAAUUAUUUUCAAGGCUCGAUAAUUGUUUAUGAAUGAUUUCAAGUCCAAUUUCAAGUAUUUGGGACUUGAUUAUUUAUUCGAAAAGUGAUUCUUUUAUCGAUUUUAAUUCCGAAAAAUGUUUAAAAAUUCUGGAAAAUUCCCGAAAAAUCAUUUUUAACCCAAGACUUGAUUUAAUAUCAAUUGGGAUGGGAAACCUUAUGUGUUGUGUGUUGUCUGCUAUUGGUUGGAUGUGUUAUGUGCCGAUAGGAGAGUGAGAAAACUGUUUUGAGCAUAACUUUUGAUCCGUAAGUCGGAAUCAAGUGAAACGAAAGAGAGACAGAAGCUUAUAACGUCUAUUUUAAUAUGAUGUGACUAUAUGGCUGAGUCUAUAAGGUGAAUAAUUGUUGAUAAGUAUGCAUAAUGUGAUAAUAUGUGAUCUAAGUGCUAUCAAGUGAUGAUUAUGUGAAGUACGUGUUAGUUUUGAUAUUGUGAAGUGAUAAAUGAUUCGUAUGAUUGAUAUUGGAUAAGAAUAUAUGGAUUAUAGCUAUUGGAUUUUGUUGGUUGAUUAAUGAUUGAGAUAGGAUAAUAGGUGGAUAGUCUUAUACAUAGACGAGACGAUGUCGGAUUUUCGAUAAGGAUUUAUAUGAUAAUUGAUUGGUGAUAUGUUAUGUGGAAUAUGAUUGACUAUAUGUUAGAGUCAAAGCAUGCUUAUGUGUUACGUGGUAUCUGAUAAGUUUAAAGGGGUAUAUAAGUGGGUAUCGAUAUACGUGAUAUGUAUAUGCGAUAUAUUGUUUAGUGACUAUAGUAUUAUCUUAUUCUCGUAAAGGAUUUGGACGAGACGUGUACGCUCGAAGACGUCAGAAAGUCGGAAUGGUAUUGCAAAGCGAAUAAGGGAUGAAUCGAGUAAGCGAAGCGAUGUGGCGAAUAGAGUAUAGCUAGAGAUGGUCUAGAGAUUAUGAGAUGCAUAGAUUGUGAAAGUGGAAAGAUGAGAAUGAGCUGUGAGACGGGAGUCAGAUUUAAGGCAAGUAUCCUAUACCCUUCUUUUGGAUAUCUUGCGAUUAUUCUGAUCCAUUCUUUUCGUAUGUGUUGCAAAUAUUCGUUCCUCUCUUUUUCAUAUUUGGCAAGUGCAAAUAUUUUUAUCCAUCCUUUUCUAAUCCUCAAAAAUUCAGAUAAUUCCAGUUUUACAAAUUAAUUCGAAGUUCAGAUUGUCAUUGAAGCAUGUGUUGCUCAGUGAUGAUUAGAACCUAGAAUGACUUGGGAUCUUCUUGAUUAUUCAACCCGCCAUUGUCAUGCUGGUUUAGCAGGCUAAAUUCAGUUGCUUAGCCGAUAAUGGAGGAUACUGAAUAGUUAAGGAUUUCCUGAACUAUGAU